rnacentral:rRNA from 1 species
AUUGAACGCUGGCGGCAUGCUUUACACAUGCAAGUCGAACGGUAACAGGCCGCAAGGUGCUGACGAGUGGCGAACGGGUGAGUAAUGCAUCGGAACGUGCCCAGUCGUGGGGGAUAACUGCUCGAAAGAGCAGCUAAUACCGCAUACGAUCUAUGGAUGAAAGCGGGGGACCGUAAGGCCUCGCGCGAUUGGAGCGGCCGAUGUCAGAUUAGGUAGUUGGUGGGGUAAAGGCUCACCAAGCCAACGAUCUGUAGCUGGUCUGAGAGGACGACCAGCCACACUGGGACUGAGACACGGCCCAGACUCCUACGGGAGGCAGCAGUGGGGAAUUUUGGACAAGGGGGGCAACCCUGAUCCAGCAAUGCCGCGUGCAGGAAGAAGGCCUUCGGGUUGUAAACUGCUUUUGUACGGAACGAAACGGUCUGGGUUAAUACCCUGGGCUAAUGACGGUACCGUAAGAAUAAGCACCGGCUAACUACGUGCCAGCAGCCGCCGUAAUAC